rfam:Mangrovibacter sp. MFB070 Contig-022, whole genome shotgun sequence.
UUUUCCGCGUUGAGACCUGUAAGAACAAGGAAUUUUGCGGAAUUACCAAUUUUGCCUGAAUGUUCAUCAACGCAGCAAUGGCGUAAGACGUUUUGUACUUUCAGGCAGUUAGCGGGCUGCGGGUUGCAGUCUGGCCGGUAAAUGGAAGCUUCUCUGGCGAAAACAUUCCCAGGCAGUUCCCCUAUAAACAGCGCUGUUUUUCCGUUUGAAAUACAGGCUACCGACACGCUGCGCCUCUCAGCAAGCGACAACCGUGAGGUUGACGACUUAGCGAAUAGUCACGAGGCCAUCGGUUCACAUCCGGUCAGCGAUUACCUUGCCCGCAGUUCUGUCGUCAA